rnacentral:rRNA from 1 species
ACCGGGCGUUAAGUUGCAGGGUAUAGACCCGAAACCCGGUGAUCUAGCCAUGGGCAGGUUGAAGGUUGGGUAACACUAACUGGAGGACCGAACCGACUAAUGUUGAAAAAUUAGCGGAUGACCUGUGGCUGGGGGUGAAAGGCCAAUCAAACCGGGAGAUAGCUGGUUCUCCCCGAAAGCUAUUUAGGUAGCGCCUCGUGAAUUCAUCUCCGGGGGUAGAGCACUGUUUCGGCUAGGGGGCCAUCCCGGCUUACCAACCCGAUGCAAACUGCGAAUACCGGAGAAUGUUAUCACGGGAGACACACGGCGGGUGCUAAUGUCCGUCGUGAAGAGGGAAACAACCCAGACCGCCAGCUAAGGUCCCAAAGUCAUGGUUAAGUGGGAAACGAUGUGGGAAGGCCCAGACAGCCAGGAUGUUGGCUUAGAAGCAGCCAUCAUUUAAAGAAAGCGUAAUAGCUCACUGGUCGAGUCGGCCUGCGCGGAAGAUGUAACGGGGCUAAACCAUGCACCGAAGCUGCGGCAGCGACACCGUGUGUUGUUGGGUAGGGGAGCGUUCUGUAAGCCUGUGAAGGUGUGCUGUGAGGCAUGCUGGAGGUAUCAGAAGUGCGAAUGCUGACAUAAGUAACGAUAAAGCGGGUGAAAAGCCCGCUCGCCGGAAGACCAAGGGUUCCUGUCCAACGUUAAUCGGGGCAGGGUGAGUCGACCCCUAAGGCGAGGCCGAAAGGCGUAGUCGAUGGGAAACGGGUUAAUAUUCCCGUACUUGGUGUUACUGCGAAGGGGGGACGGAGAAGGCUAUGUUGGCCGGGCGACGGUUGUCCCGGUUUAAGCGUGUAGGUAUGUGUUCCAGGUAAAUCCGGUUCACUUUAACACUGAGGCGUGACGACGAGGCACUACGGUGCUGAAGCAACAAAUGCCCUGCUUCCAGGAAAAGCCUCUAAGCAUCAGGUAACAUCAAAUCGUACCCCAAACCGACACAGGUGGUCAGGUAGAGAAUACCAAGGCGCUUGAGAGAACUCGGGUGAAGGAACUAGGCAAAAUGGUGCCGUAACUUCGGGAGAAGGCACGCUGACACGUAGGUGAAGUGAUUUACUCACGGAGCUGAAGUCAGCCGAAGAUACCAGCUGGCUGCAACUGUUUAUUAAAAACACAGCACUGUGCAAACACGAAAGUGGACGUAUACGGUGUGACGCCUGCCCGGUGCCGGAAGGUUAAUUGAUGGGGUCAGCGCAAGCGAAGCUCCUGAUCGAAGCCCCGGUAAACGGCGGCCGUAACUAUAACGGUCCUAAGGUAGCGAAAUUCCUUGUCGGGUAAGUUCCGACCUGCACGAAUGGCGUAAUGAUGGCCAGGCUGUCUCCACCCGAGACUCAGUGAAAUUGAACUCGCUGUGAAGAUGCAGUGUACCCGCGGCAAGACGGAAAGACCCCGUGAACCUUUACUAUAGCUUGACACUGAACAUUGAGCCUUGAUGUGUAGGAUAGGUGGGAGGCUUUGAAGUGUGGACGCCAGUCUGCAUGGAGCCGACCUUGAAAUACCACCCUUUAAUGUUUGAUGUUCUAACGUGGACCCGUGAUCCGGGUUGCGGACAGUGUCUGGUGGGUAGUUUGACUGGGGCGGUCUCCUCCUAAAGAGUAACGGAGGAGCACGAAGGUUGGCUAAUCCUGGUCGGACAUCAGGAGGUUAGUGCAAUGGCAUAAGCCAGCUUGACUGCGAGCGUGACGGCGCGAGCAGGUGCGAAAGCAGGUCAUAGUGAUCCGGUGGUUCUGAAUGGAAGGGCCAUCGCUCAACGGAUAAAAGGUACUCCGGGGAUAACAGGCUGAUACCGCCCAAGAGUUCAUAUCGACGGCGGUGUUUGGCACCUCGAUGUCGGCUCAUCACAUCCUGGGGCUGAAGUAGGUCCCAAGGGUAUGGCUGUUCGCCAUUUAAAGUGGUACGCGAGCUGGGUUUAGAACGUCGUGAGACAGUUCGGUCCCUAUCUGCCGUGGGCGCUGGAGAACUGAGGGGGGCUGCUCCUAGUACGAGAGGACCGGAGUGGACGCAUCACUGGUGUUCGGGUUGUCAUGCCAAUGGCACUGCCCGGUAGCUAAAUGCGGAAGAGAUAAGUGCUGAAAGCAUCUAAGCACGAAACUUGCCCCGAGAUGAGUUCUCCCUGAGACUUUAGGUCUCCUGAAGGAACGUUGAAGACGACGACGUUGAUAGGCCGGGUGUGUAAGCGCAGCGAUGCGUUGAGCUAACCGGUACUAAUGAACCGUGAGGCUUAACCUU